AACCAUGUUAGGAUGUGUUUUGGUAACAUGCAAACAAGCUACAUGAUUAAAGGAAACUUAAAACAAUAAGCACAACAAUACAGAGACAGAUAAGCUCAGUGUGGUAAUGCCACUUGAUUGGUGAAUGUUGACAAGGAACAUCUUCUGUACUUCUUGUUCAGUGAAGGUGCAAAAGUGUACUACCCAUGGUUUGUGUUUUUAGAACACCUUUUAAUUAACAAAACAUAAAUGUUGUGUACCUGGAAGAAGCAUAAUUUGUCCAGAAAGCUUAAUAUUAUUUUUUUUUUCUACAUCUUUUGUGAAUAGAUACCACUCAUGACACUGCAAUUCUGGGAACAAUUCAGACAGUAGUUGGCUUUCAUGAUUUGAGAGUUUAAAGCCUAGAAAACAAGCCUAAGAGAAAUAAAAGAGGGAUCUUGCUGUGCCUGCUUUCUUGCAA